UCUAAUACCGGAUACUGACCUUCACGGGCAUCCGGAAGGUCGAAAGCUCCGGCGGUGCAGGAUGAGCCCGCGGCCUAUCAGCUUGUUGGUGAGGUAACGGCUCACCAAGGCGACGACGGG
rnacentral:rRNA from 1 species